CGCCAAGGGGUUUCGCAAUGGGGGAACCCUGAUGCAGCAACGCCGCGUGAGUGAUGAAGGUCUUCGUUAUUGUAAAACUCUGUCUUUGGGGACGAUAAUGACGGUACCCAAGGAGGAAGCCACGGCUAACUACGUGCCAGCAGCCGCGGUAAUUA
rnacentral:rRNA from 1 species